CCAUUGACAACAACAGAAGAAACAUGUAGCUUUAACAGUUCUGCCCAAUCCCCUAGACAGCAUCAGAUGCCAAAGACCUGAAGAUACUUCAUGGGAUAAAAACACCUCUAAUACAAUUUGCAGUAUUUUAAACUAAGAGACACUCAUUAAUUGAUUUUAGUGGAGGAAGAGGGCAGUUUUGGGAGAAGGCAGAAAUUGGUGCUGGGAAGCAGGAGGAAGAGCUCAUCCAUCUUGGAGUGUUGAUGUUCGUAUUCAUAUAUAAACCACAGCGAAGGGCAGCCCAGGUGGCUCAGCCCACAGCCACAGCCACAGCCACAGCCGCCUUCAGCCCAGGGAGUGAUCCUGGAGACCCAGGAUUGAGUUCCACGUCUGGCUCCCUGCACAGAGC